GGCCCAGGCGGCCAGCACUGCCUGCGACCAGACCUCAUGCCGGAUAAUCAGGGUGAAGCAUCGGAGCCGGCUGCGACCGGCAUCCCGACCACAGCCCCCAGGGCAGCCUAGGUGAGGAGCCCCACUGACGCCCCGAUCCUCUGCACCUGUCUCUCAGCUGAUUCUGAGCCCAGGAGAGUGCUUUUAUCUCAGUCGCCACGACUCCCCUGCGAAGUCUGAAGAUGUGGUUUUCCUCACGUUGUAGACGAAGAGACUGAGGUUCAGAGUGGGGAAGGAGCCUGCCCAAGGUCACCCAGCCGUAAGCAGCACGGCCAGGACCCGAACACGGGACUUCUGACAUGCAUGUGCAGGCCAGCCCCACUGCCCCAGGCUGCCUCCAUGGCCCCAAAGGCAGAGCAUAAAUAGCUCUCAAAGGCCGCCAAGCACAGCUGGCUUCCUUACACUCAAGUUCAAGCAGGCGUAUUCAGACAUUCAGAUGGAAGGCUCAGAGAACCCCUUCCAGCCCUGCACAGCAGAAGGAAGGGGGCCACGAGCAGGGGCUGCUCAGAUGAGACUUGCCCGCUGGGGCCAGGACCCCACCCAGGACCCCGUAUGACAUCAGUCAUCCUGUCUCCUUAGCUCUUCUGGGCUGUGACGGUUUCUCAGACUGUCCUUGUUUUGGAUGACCUUGGUCGUUUGAGGAGGACUGACCAGGAAUUUUGUAGGCAGACCACAGAGGUGAAGGGCCCUCAUCCCAUCCCCUCAGGGCACGUGCCGUCAACAUGGCUGAUCACUGUGACGUUGACCUUGAUCACCUGGCUGAGGUGUGGCUGUCAGGCGUCUGCUCUGCAAAGUCCCUCUUUACCCCA